CACGUAGGGGGCGAGCGUUGUCCGGAUUUAUUGGGCGUAAAGAGCUCGUAGGUGGCUUAGUAUGUCGGGUGUGAAACCUCCAGGCUCAACCUGGAGACGCCACCCGAUACUGCUAUAGCUUGAGUCCGGUAGGGGAGCGUGGAAUUCCUGGUGUAGCGGUGAAAUGCGCAGAUAUCAGGAGGAACACCAGCGGCGAAGGCGGCGCUCUGGGCCGGUACUGACACUGAGGAGCGAAAGCGUGGGGAGCAAACAGG
rnacentral:rRNA from 1 species